rnacentral:rRNA from 1 species
CGGGACGGGUGAGUAAUGUCUGGGAAACUGCCCGAUGGAGGGGGAUAACUACUGGAAACGGUAGCUAAUACCGCAUAACGUCGCAAGACCAAAGAGGGGGACCUUCGGGCCUCUUGCCAUCGGAUGUGCCCAUAUGGGAUUAGCUUGUAGGUAAGGUAACGGCUUACCUAGGCGACGAUCCCUAGCUGAUCUGAGAGGAUGAUCAGCCACACUGGGACUGAGACACGGCCCAG